CUUUAUUGCGCGUGGGAUUAUGUCUUAUAAAGUUCUAGAUAUAAGAUUUAUUAUGAAAGUUUUUUAUCUAUAUGUCUUGGCUAAAUUUUGUGCCAGCAGCCGCGGUAAUACAAAGGAGACUAGUGUUAUUCAUCUUUAUUAGGUUUAAAGGGUACCUAGACGGCAUUACUUGCCUUUAAAAAGGGGACAGUUUUGCUAGUGUUCUUCUAUGAGAGGACAAUGAAGUAUUAAAGAUGGAGAGAUAAAAUUUGUUGAUAUCUUUAGGACGGGUUAAGGCGAAAGCGAACCUCUAUGUAAGAACAGACGUUGAGGGACGAAGGCAUUGAUAACAAACAGGAUUAGAUACCCCAGUAGUCUUUGCAGAAAAUGAUGAAUGCCAUAAGUCAGAUUCUAUAAUUUGGUUUAUAAAUGAAAGUGUAAGCAUUCCACCUCAAGAGUAAUGUGUCAGUACAGAAACUGAAAUCAUUAGACCGUUUCUGAAAACAGUAGUGAAGUAUGUUGUUUAAUUCGAUGAUCCACGAAAAACCUUACCACAAUUCGUAUGUUAGAUUAAAAUAAUCUGAUACAGGCGUUGCAUGGUUGUCUUUAGUUGAUGUCGUGAGAUCUGGUACUCCUUUAAUCAACGAAAACCCUCGCUUUAUUUAUAAAUUUAAAAUAGAGUGGUUCUCCGUUAUAUAGGAUUAAGAUA
rnacentral:rRNA from 1 species